CACAGAUUUACAUGAAUUUAUUUUCUUUAGCAUAUCUGGGUUUGACAGUUUGCUUCCAUUGCUACUAAAACAGCCUUAAAUAAUUAAAUUUUUUUUCAAAAAGUAUUUAUCAAAAUAUCCAUGCUCGAUGGUAAAAGGGAAUGCUGGGAGAUGUUAAAUGUCGCCUCCGGAAACCAACAAGAAAUAAUAUACAGAAUGUCGAAUGUCCCAGAUGGGGACUAAUUGUAAUCAGCAGCGGUAAUGUACUGCUCAAGCAAAAUUAUUUGUUGAAGGCAUUCUAAAAAGUGAACCAUCUGAAAGAGUACCUGGACUCGGGUACAUAGUUUCCGAAGCGUACGUGUACCAAACGAAUAUGACACUUCUGGCAUUGGAGCAGUUGGUGAUGGUGGUCUGGAUUAUUACCCGCAAGAGCUGGCAGUUCCGCAGUACCAUCGAAUCAGAGAAAUUGUUCCGAAUGAUUCUUAGAAAGCGAAUGUACCAUGGCACUAUGUUCCAGAACAAAUAGGUGUUUUAUGUUAUGUAUGGAUACAAUGUAAACGCUAAAUAAAGCUUA